CAACUACUCCCUCGGCCCCAAAUUUCUUGUCUUAGAUUUGUCUAGAUACAGAUGUAUCUAAUACUAAAAUGUGACUUGAUACAUCAGCAUCUAGACAAAUCUAUGACAAGAAUUUUGGGACGGAGGGAGUACUUU
rfam:Triticum aestivum genome assembly, contig: Triticum_aestivum_CS42_TGACv1_scaffold_471080_6AL